UACGUAGGGUGCAAGCGUUGUCCGGAAUUAUUGGGCGUAAAGAGCUCGUAGGCGGUCUGUCGCGUCGGAUGUGAAAACCCAGGGCUCAACCCUGGGCCUGCAUUCGAUACGGGCAGACUAGAGUUCGGUAGGGGAGACUGGAAUUCCUGGUGUAGCGGUGAAAUGCGCAGAUAUCAGGAGGAACACCGGUGGCGAAGGCGGGUCUCUGGGCCGAUACUGACGCUGAGGAGCGAAAGCGUGGGGAGCAAACAGG
rnacentral:rRNA from 1 species